rnacentral:rRNA from 1 species
AUUGAACGCUGGCGGCAGGCCUAACACAUGCAAGUCGAGCGGUAGAGAGAAGCUUGCUUCUCUUGAGAGCGGCGGACGGGUGAGUAAUGCCUAGGAAUCUGCCUAGUGGUGGGGGAUAACGUUCGAAACGGACGCUAAUACCGCAUACGUCCUACGGGAGAAAGCGGGGGAGCUUCGGACCUCGCGCCAUUAGAUGAGCCUAGGUCGGAUUAGCUAGUUGGUGAGGUAAUGGCUCACCAAGGCGACGAUCCGUAACUGGUCUGAGAGGAUGAUCAGUCACACUGGAACUGAGACACGGUCCAGACUCCUACGGGAGGCAGCAGUGGGGAAUAUUGGACAAUGGGCGAAAGCCUGAUCCAGCCAUGCCGCGUGUGUGAAGAAGGUCUUCGGAUUGUAAAGCACUUUAAGUUGGGAGGAAGUGCAGUAACCUAAUACGUUAUUGUUUUGACGUUACCGACAGAAUAAGCACCGGCUAACUUCGUGCCAGCCGCCGCGGUAACAC